rnacentral:rRNA from 1 species
UCAAUAAGCGGAGGAAAAGAAACUAACAAGGAUUCCCCUAGUAGCGGCGAGCGAAGCGGGAAGAGCUCAAAUUUAUAAUCUGGCACUUUCAGUGUCCGAGUUGUAAUCUCUAGAAGUGUUUUCCGCGUUGGACCGCACACAAGUCUGUUGGAAUACAGCGGCACAGUGGUGACACCCCCGUACACGGUGCGGACGCCCAGCGCUUUGUGAUACACUUUCGAAGAGUCGAGUUGUUUGGGAAUGCAGCUCAAAUUGGGUGGUAAAUUCCAUCUAAAGCUAAAUAUUGGCGAGAGACCGAUAGCGAACAAGUACCGUGAGGGAAAGAUGAAAAGCACUUUGGAAAGAGAGUUAACAGUACGUGAAAUUGUUGGAAGGGAAACGCUUGAAGUCAGACUUGCUUGCCGGAGCUUGCUUCGGUUUGCAGGCCAGCAUCAGUUUUCCGGGGUGGAUAAUGGCGGUUAGAAGGUAGCAGCUUCAGCUGUGUUAUAGCUUUCCGCUGGAUACAUCCUGGGGGACUGAGGAACGCAGCGUGCUUUUAGCGGGGGUUUCGACCUCUUCACGCUUAGGAUGCUGGUGUAAUGGCUUUAAACGACCCGUCUUGAAACAC